rnacentral:rRNA from 1 species
GUCCACACCGUAAACGUUGGGCGCUAGGUGUGGGAUCCAUUCCACGGGUUCCGUGCCGCAGCUAACGCAUUAAGCGCCCCGCCUGGGGGAGUACGGCCGCAAGGCUAAAACUCAAAGGAAUUGACGGGGGCCCGCACAAGCGGCGGAGCAUGCGGAUUAAUUCGAUGCAACGCGAAGAACCUUACCUGGGUUUGACAUACGCCGGAAACACCUAGAGAUAGGUGCCCUUUUUGUCGGUGUACAGGUGGUGCAUGGCUGUCGU